AUUGAAAGCUGGCGGCAGGCCUAACACAUGCAAGUCGAACGAGUGGCGGACGGGUGAGUAAUGUCUGGGAAACUGCCUGAUGGAGGGGGAUAACUACUGGAAACGGUAGCUAAUACCGCAUCCCAUCGGAUGUGCCCAGAUUGGAUUAGCUAGUAGGUGGGGUAAAGGCUCACCUAGGCGACGAUCCCUAGCUGGUCUGAGAGGAUGACCCGCCACACUGGGACUGUGACACGGGCCAGACUCCUACGGUAGGCAGCAGUGGGGAAUAUUGCACAACGGGCGCAAGCCUGAUGCAGCCAUGCCGCGUGUAUGAAGAAGGCUUUCGGGUUGGAAAGUACUUUCAGCAGGGAGGCGUUACCCGCAGAAGAAGCACCGGCUAACUCCGUGCCAGCAGCCGCGGUAAUUC
rnacentral:rRNA from 1 species